AGAUGACAGGGAAACUACACCUCCUCCUGGUCUUGCUGGGCCUCUGUAAGGUGUAUGGUCAGAGUCUGGAGGCCAUUCCCUCCAGUCCAGUCCUGAAAAAGCCUGCAGAACCUCUCAGCCUCUCCUGUAAGGGAUCUGGCUUUACCUUUAGUGACUACCAUAUGGGCUGGAUACGUCAACCUGCAGGAAGAGCACUUGAAUGGAUAGGCAUUAUAUGGGAUGAUGCUAGUGGAACUGCAUACGCAAAAAGUGUUGAAGGACGUAUAGAAGUCACCAGAGAUAAUUCCAACAGCAUGGUGUAUCUGAAGCUGUCUGGUCUGAGAGCAGAGGACUCUGCUGUGUAUUACUGUGCAAGACAGACACAGUGGUGUGAGUGA